GAUGAAGAACGUAGCGAAAUGCGAUAAGUAAUGCGAAUUGCAGAAUUCCAGUGAGUCAUCGAAUCUUUGAACGCACAUUGCGCCCUUUGGUAUUCCGAAGGGCAUGCCUGUUCGAGCGUCAUUUCACCACUCAAGCCUGGCUUGGUGUUGGGCGACGUCCUCUUUGGGGACGCGCCUCGAAACGCUCGGCGGCGUGGCACCGGCUUUAAGCGUAGCAGAAUCUUUCGCUUUGGAAGUCGGGGCCCCGUCUGCCGGAAGACCUGCUCGCAAGGUUGACCUCGGAUCAGGCAGGGAUACCCGCUGAACUUAAGCAUAUCAAUAAGCGGAGGA
rnacentral:misc_RNA from 1 species